rnacentral:rRNA from 1 species
UACGGAGGGGGCUAGCGUUGUUCGGAAUUACUGGGCGUAAAGCGCACGUAGGCGGCUUUGUAAGUUAGAGGUGAAAGCCUGGAGCUCAACUCCAGAAUUGCCUUUAAGACUGCAUCGCUUGAAUCGCGGAGAGGUGAGUGGAAUUCCGAGUGUAGAGGUGAAAUUCGUAGAUAUUGGGAAGAACACCGGUGGCGAAGGCGGCUCACUGGCUCAUAUCUGACGCUCAGGCGCGACAGCGUGGGGAUCAAACAGG